UUCCUCGUCUGCCGUCUUGUAUUUGAGUCCUCACCUUUUCCCCACCGACACAGUACGAUCUAACCAGAAACAUGGACUCAGCAGAUGUCAUGGACGAGGAGACCUAUGAUUUAAUGUACACUUUAAUUAUAAUGUUUGGUGAGUGGAUGCUAAACCCCUGUUGGAGGAUGCGACAGGCUGCGCCUGGAUUGGUGAGAAAAGAGGUGGCUAAGAAGCCAGAGUUGAAGAGCCUUUUACCUGAGUGGCUUCAGGAUUUUGUGGACACUCCUUGCCAGCCUAACCCUGCCGAUCCUUCCACUCAACUUCCUUUUGCCGAGCUGCGGCAACCCCCUUCUCCAGUCGCGCUGCGGCAACCUCCUACUACUGUUGGGCUGCACCAGACCCCAGUCCCUGAGCCAUUUCUUGGCACUCGCCUGGCCCUGGGAGGUCCUCGGAGUCUCCAGGGGACUUCCAGGUCUCGGCGCAAGAGACCCAGACCACGACAGCUUCCGGUUUCUGCUGCCGGGCCGCGACAGCCCCCGUUUCCGCUGCUGUGCCGCGACAGACUCCCGUUCCCGCUGCCGGACCUCCGCAGACUCCCGUUCCCGCUGCCGGACCUCCGCAGACUCCCGUUCCCGCUGCCGGACCUCCGCAGACUCCCGUUCCCGCUGCCGGACCUCCGCAGACUCCCGCUGCCGGACCUCCGCAGACCCCCGCCCCCGCUGCCGAAUCUCUGCAGACAUCCGCUCCAGCUGAUGCCGGACCGCUGCAGACCCCAGCUGUUCCCCAGCUGCCCCUCGUGACCCCAGCCCCUGUGCUCCCUCCGUCCCUCGUGACUCCAUCCCCUGUGCUCCCUUCGUCCCCCUCCCCCCUCCGUCCCCCUCCGUCCCCCUCCCCCCUCCGCUCCCCUCUCUUCCCGGGACCCCUUCGCUCCGCUCUCCUCUCCAGACCCUAGUGCUUUCUCCAUCCCGGACUCCAGAGCAGCUCCACCCACCACCAGCCCGGCCUCCUGCCCAGCCCUCCUUGUUUGCACCUUGAUCCUGGUUUGUCUUUUCACUUGACUUUUUACCUUUUUGUAUAAUUUGAAUAAAAC
rnacentral:lncRNA from 1 species